UUACUCUUGUUUCUCUUCAGAUAGCAUAAAUCUUUUGCCUUUUACUAAAGAUUUCUGUGGAGAGGAACAAGUCUGAGUUUUGAACCAAUUUUCUGAGACCUUGCUCUAGCAAGGCU